rnacentral:rRNA from 1 species
UACAGAGGUCCCAAGCGUUGUUCGGAUUCACUGGGCGUAAAGGGCGCGCAGGUGGUCGGGUACGUCUGAUGUGAAAUCCCGCAGCUUAACUGCGGAAUGGCAUUGGAUACUGUUUGGCUAGAGGGUUGGAGGGGGGACUGGAAUUCCCGGUGUAGUGGUGAAAUGCGUAGAUAUCGGGAGGAACACCAGUGGCGAAGGCGACUUCCUGGCCUGUUCUUGACGCUGAGGCGCGAAAGCUAGGGGAGCAAACGGG